rnacentral:rRNA from 1 species
UACGUAGGGUGCAAGCGUUAAUCGGAAUUACUGGGCGUAAAGCGUGCGCAGGCGGUGAUGUAAGACAGAUGUGAAAUCCCCGGGCUCAACCUGGGAACUGCAUUUGUGACUGCAUCGCUGGAGUGCGGCAGAGGGGGAUGGAAUUCCGCGUGUAGCAGUGAAAUGCGUAGAUAUGCGGAGGAACACCGAUGGCGAAGGCAAUCCCCUAGGCCUGCACUGACGCUCAUGCACGAAAGCGUGGGGAGCAAACAGG